AUCGACAAGAUAUAUUUACUUUUAUGUUUUUUUCAGUAGUAGAGGAAGAAUGUUCCGAUUGGUCGAUGUACUGUUUGUCCCGCCUCUCCUCCAUUGUGAUUGGACAAAGGCGAUUUACAGCGCGCCACUUUUGAUAAAUACACAUUAGCAGGAUUAGGAUAACAAUUGUUUUACAACGCAUCUUAAAAAAAAAACGUUUUAAAAUGUAUAAUAUAAAAAUAAAUAUGUAUAUUUGAUCUGGAAUAUUAUUUAUUUUAUAAAAAAUCCUUUUAGCCAAUGGGGGGCCUGCUCCACCGCAAGUCGUCAUUUUCUAUCUCUAUAAUAAAUGUUGCUGAUUUUACUUUAAAAAAUGUUAAAAAAUGGAUCUUGCGAAUACAAGAAAAAGUUAAUCUCUGAAAAAUAAUUCAUUGCAGUUCAGUGAUGACUAUAAUGGCAGUCUCGAUCUUAUAUCUUCUCUCUGUAUUGUGCAUUUAAAUCAGGAAUCUUUAAUAAAAUCCGGUCUGAUUUUAUACCAUUCAGUGUGGUUUUGCAGGGGUUCUCAAAGUUUACAUUCAAAGGUCCAAAUCUGAAUUGCCGCUACAUCCAAAAGCCAGGGGGCGCUCUCGGGCAGAAACUUAACAUGCGAAGAACCAGACACACGCAGCUCCAGGAAAUUAAGGAUAUAUUUAUAUUGCUGUUCUUCAAACCUUUUCAGGGAAGGAAAAACAAAUCAUGACACUUUCUCACAUUAUUCUGAAAAUUAGAGGGGUGCGAGGGGCCUCCAACACUUCAAAUAUCUAGAGCCGGCCCUGGUCUCUUGAGAUACUUAGAAAUCCCACCGGAAGCAGUAGAUCAUCCAGAUCAGAGCUUCUGUUUCCUGUCCUCUUAGUAAAAUGGCUUCAAUCGAGGAGAAAUGUCAGAUUUCAAACCGACUUCAGAUGACAAAUGCUGUCCUUGCAAGGGUCAGAAUGGGGUCAAUCUGUAUAAUAGGACUAAACUUUUCCUGCUGGUUUUGUCCGUCUCAGUUAAUUUCUUCUUGGAAGUCUGAGCGCUCUUAGGAUGAAUUAAGUGUUCAGGGUUGCUUGAUAAUUACAGACAGGUGUGUUGGAGCUGAAGUCUGCAGGAUGGUAGUCCUCCAGGAGCAGGGUUCAGCACCCCUGCGUUACAACCAAUAAAAUUUCCAUUAUAACCAUUAUAUUUAUAAUUAUAAUUUAAUGGUUUCAAUCAGUUUAUAAAAUCUGAAGAAUUGAUGUGAUGUUUUUUAUUGUUUUUCUAGCAGAGUAUUAAUAAAUAAUUGACCUUAAUGUAGUUUAUUUUUUAGUCAGAUAUCAGUUACUAAUAUGAUCUUUUUAAUCUUUUCUUUAUUCCCUCU